rnacentral:rRNA from 1 species
GCUCAAAUUUGAAAUCUUAAAGGGUUUCCCUUUACGAAUUGUAGUUUAAAGAAGUGUUUUCUGUUGAGGUUUUGGUAAAAGUUCUUUGGAAUAGGACAUCGUAGAGGGUGAGAAUCCCGUAUUUGACCUUUACUUUCAACUUUGUGAUACACUUUCAAGGAGUCGGAUUGUUUGGGAAUGCAGUCCAAAAUGGGUGGUAAAUUUCAUCUAAAGCUAAAUAUUGGCGAGAGACCGAUAGCGAACAAGUACCGUGAGGGAAAGAUGAAAAGAACUUUGAAAAGAGAGUUAAACAGUACGUGAAAUUGUCAAAAGGGAAGCGUUUGACACCAGUGUUGUUUUUCUGAAAAUCAAUUAAAGAACUGUUUAUGCUAAGUUGUUUAGACUUUAUCAGCUAUCUGUUUAGUUUUGAGCUUUUCUUUAAUGCACUUUUCAGUUAACAAG